GUCACGUCACACGGACGCCCCAAGAAAACACUCACAGCAUUUUUCAGAGCUAGCCUGCUGUUCCACGAUGUCGUCUUUGUGGUCCAUCCUCCUCAUGCUGGCAGCCUCCUCCUCAUGCGCCCACUCGCAAGUGGUUCUGACUCAGGAAGGUCCAGUUGUGAAAAAACCUGGAGAAUCCCAUAAAUUGACCUGUGCCACCAGUGGGUUUACUCUGAGUAGCACAUGGAUGAGCUGGAUCCGACAGAAACCUGGCAAAGGAUUGGAAUGGCUUCUGGAGUAUAAGGACAGUGGGAGCAAUAACUACAUCCCUGAAAUUCGAGGGCGAUUCACGGCCUCUAAGAGUGCCACUGAGUUCUAUCUCCAAAUGAAUGACCUGAAAUCCGAAGACACGGCCGUGUAUUACUGUGCAAGAUUCUCACAGUGA